rnacentral:lncRNA from 1 species
UUCCAACUAAAAAUUAAGUCUAAUUUUUAGUCAUUAAAUAUACCUUGCAAGUUUUUAUUUUUUAUGUUUUCAAUACUCUAUAUUAAUAUUAUGCAGUAGUUUUACUAUAGUAUAAGUUAUGAUAUGUUUAAAUAUAUGACUUUUUACCUUUUGUUUCAAAUAGUGAUGUCUAAAGACAAUACACCUGACAUUGUCUCCAUGACUUUAGAACUUGGAGCAGCACACUAUAUUGUUAACGCAUUUUGUACUAAAAUAUUUAGAGACAUUUGGAAGUAUGCAUUGGAAGCAAAGAAAAAUAAACUAUUUAUUGAUAGUUUAUCUGCAGCAAUUGAAAAACAAGAGACAUCAACUGAUAUACUACAAACAAAAAAGAAAUGUAGUAAAAAAAAGAGUUGUGAUUAUAGCCAAGAUGAAGGGGAGUUUGAAAUUAGUACGAAAUAUAGUAAAAUUAUCACAACUCCUCUUCAUAACAACUCCAAACUCCCAUUCACCUUGGUGAUUACCAAAACUCUUUCUUUUACUACAUUUCUUUUUUGUUUAUAGUUGAUCAAUUGAUGUUUCUUCUUCUUCACUUGCUGCAAAUAAANNNNNNNNNNNNNNNNNNNNNNNNNNNNNNNNNNNNNNNNNNNNNNNNNNNNNNNNNNNNNNNNNNNNNNNNNNNNNNNNNNNNNNNNNNNNNNNNNNNNUAUACAAUUCGAGCUCGGUACCCCAUGAGAAGUUUUGAGAAAUUUUAAAAAUUUGACAAGAACGUGUAAACUUAACAAAUUACUGAAGCAUCUUUUAUUGUAGAAAUUAACAUUAUCACCUCAUAAUUUUACAAGUCACUUAAAAGGGACACACUCAUGGUAUUUCUCUUAUAAGUUUUGAGUAAUUUCAAAAAUAUGACAGCAACAUGUGAACUAGUCAAAUUGUUGAAGCAUGUAUCCACUUUUUAUCAGAGGAGUACCUACAAAAAAAAAAUAGUGUUGAAAUUAACAUUUGUUACUUUUUAUCAUCUCAUAACAUUAUAUAAACAUAUAAGAGGGAUACAUUCGUGGUAUUUCUAUGAUAAGUUUUUAGAAAUUUCAAAAAUAUGAAAGAAACUCGCGAACUAACCAAAUUGUUGAAGCUUUUAUCCACUUUUUAUCAAAAGAGUAAACCAUUUUUUUUACCAAAUUUCAUUACAUACAAAAAUAAGUUACGAACUUAUAACAAAAUGAUAAUAUCUUCCAAUGGAACUACAACUUAGCAUGUCUUGUUAUAAUUUUACAAUAGAACUAUAACUCAUCAAGUCCUAUCACUAAUUUACAAAUUUCCUGCAGAGGGAUGAACUUUUCCUUGUGAUUGAGUUCACCUCAUCCUGUAUCAUCUAUGAUGGCACGUUAUUAGGUUGACUUGUUGAUAAGUAUCAAUCCUAGAGAAUUCAAUUGAUCUAAGCACUGCAUUCAAUAUCAAAGCUUUCAUUUUCACAACUUUCAUGGAUGUGUUGUUUUUAUCAAAAUCAACUUGCUAAUCAACGGAUCAACCUGAAAAUUCAUCAAUGUUAAUGCUUCUAUAUCAAACUUAAGAAAAUAAUAAUAGAAGGUAACCUAACAUGUUAUUGCAAUUAGCAUAGUCCAUUUUUUUUUUCAUUACUUGUUCAAUGGUUUAAUGAGCAACUAUAUUUGUUCUUGGUCCAACUUUUAAUUAAUCGUAAUCUAACAAGAAUACAUAAUCUAACACAAAGAAACAUCAUUGAUCAAAGGAAGUAACAUACCUUUUUAUUCUGUUUCACGGUUCAUGACUAAAUGAACAUGUUGAAAAGCUUGAAUAAGGAAUGCUAAGUAAAUAAAACUACACCCAAAUAAAUUCAUCAUUUUGUAAACUAACAGCAGGACUUAACAUAUAAAACUAAACAAGAAACAUGCAAAAACACCCCAAUGAUGCUAAAAAGCAAUGACAACAAAUCAAAGAAACCCAAGAUAAGAUAUGUGUAGUCAAAACCAAAUGCCUCUACAACUAAAAGUACAACUUAGUCCAACUAGCCGCACGAUUAAAAGGGUUCCAAUAACCCCAUGAAGCUUAAACAAAGAAGAUACAUGAUCAAAUGAAACAGCAGAGCAAUGAAUCCCAAAAAAUAUGUUAUAUGAAAUAUAUUGCUUGGGACGCCUGACCAAUACAAAACUGAACAUAAGACAUCCCUAUGACCACAAACUCAUUAAUAUAAUCACAAGAUUCAUCAUCAAAAACAUCACAACUCCGCACAACCAUACAAUUCAACCUACAAGCUUAUUCACCAUGAAUCAUUCAUAGGCAUAAUUCUCUUCAAACAUGAAAAUUACAAAUUCUUUAAACUGUACACUAAUCAACUGAACUACUACUACGAGAAAAAUGAAACUACACAUCAAUUCAUAAUAUAAGUCCAACAAAACCCAUUUAAGAUGUUAUGAUGAUUUUAAAUAGAUUCAAUUUAAUCACAAAAUGGAUCACAAACAUUUCCUUCUUCACCUAAUUUAUUCUACUAUUAUGUAUACAAUUUACAGAGAAUACAUUUUAAAGGGAUAUUCUAAUGAAUAACAAUAUUUCACCUUAGAUCUUGCAACUGAUUAUUGAAUUUAAUGUUUCUUUUGCAACAAUAUUCACAACAAUUAUAACAAAUACAAACACAUGUUCUCAACACUAGUUUAAUGCACUUAACCAUAUUAUAACAAAUAAUUAACCACACUUUUUUUUCUUUCCAAAAUUCCCGCAGUUAGCCAUUUUUUAACAUAACUUUGACCACGAAUCACUAAAGACAUACUAAAUAAUUGGAGGAGAACUUGUGAAUUUUGACUGAGAAAAUAACAAUGAGAGGUGAAUGUUAUUCUAUGUAUAACAUGUUUCACACAAACUAACAAAAGAAUGACAUAACUUAACCAACACAAAUUAUCAUCCCAACCCCAUUUGUAGAUCCCAUCAAAUGCAACCAACAACAUAAGAUCUUAAUAGGCAACAACCCAAAAGGAGACAAUAAGACAGUAAUGUAACAGAAGAUUUUAACAAAAUUAUGACCUAAACUUCUAAAUACUAUCAGGCUUCAAUUAACUCAUAAUUCUCACAAAAUCAAUAUCAUAAUAUGAUUAAUUUCUACACCAUGAAAUUCUAAUUCCUUUGAAGUUGGUCACAAAUAAUUUCAAAUCAACACAAAUUACCAUCUCAUUAGGGUUUAACAAAUCAUUUAAAAAAAAAUUCAAUUUUGGAGAAAAACAUUCAAAAUGCAGACAGAUAAACCAUAAACACAAAUCCUAGUCAUAAAAUAAAAUGAAAAUUUGAGAUUAACCUCGCCUAAGAAUAAAGAGAUUGUGGGAAGAAAACAAUUGCUGAUUGUGAACCGACAGUGAUUGUGAGACAACAGUUGUGUAACGAAAACGGGUUGGUUGGAAGAGAUCGCAGAAGAGGACAAGCAGUGGGAGGAGAUCGCGUGUUGGUAGAGAGAGACUUCUCCAGUGAGGAUAGAGAGAAAUGAAAGAUAUGAUGUUUCCUUUUACCUUCUUAUUUUAUGUUUGUUUUAAUUUUAUUUUUAAUGUUUUAUAAGCUGCUUUCCAUGUCACUAGGCCUCUUUUUUUAAUUUUUUUUUGCCAACUCAAGAGUGGUAGGAGGGUGUAUCACCUAAAGGGUGUUCACGUAUCUUUUUCAUAUCAGUUAUAGCAAAACCCACUAAUUAUUGGUGCAAGAAAUAUUAACACACAAAACCUUUAUUUAUAUGACCAAGUAUUUAUAUAUUUCUUUCUAUUCUCUGUUGUGUGACUUUUUUCCAACACUAAUUCAAGGUAAAUUUCAACAAAUAAGAACUUUAAAAUAACAAACAAAAAAUUAACCCACACAUGUUGCAACAAAAAAUAACAAAAAAGUAUAAUUUAGAUAUAUUUCAAGCCUUAACCACCACAAUAUGUAUCGCAACAUUCACGAUGCAAGCAAUCAUGACUGCAACCGCAGCCACAAUUUAUGAACAUAAGGUAUUAUGAUUGAAUGAAUGGUAAAUGAAUGUAGUGGUAGCCGAUAAUAGAUAUGGUGAAAAAUGCACGUUUAGGGGCUAAAAUAAAAGCAUCUCAGUCAAGAAAUGUUGUGAUGUUAGCUAACACCGGCGCAUAAUAACUUACGUUGGGUGCCACCGCGAGUUAACUCACGCUAAAGUUAUUUAGGGAAAAUCGGGGUGGGAAUGAGAAAUACCAUAACGAGAAAAGCAAUUUUUGAAUCAUAAUAACACUAAAAUAUAAGAGUAAUGAUACAUAUACACCAUUUAUUCCCAUACACCCUUGUACACCCCAUGUAUUAGGAAGAGAGAAGAGGAGAGAAAAGAGAAAGUGUGCUUGUGCGGGGUCCACGUGACUACGUGUCAGAAUUUUGUGUGGGUGUCAAAGGGUGUAUUGCCACCUAAGGGUGUCUAUGUAUCAUUAUGGGUUUUUCUAACCUAUGCAACAUUGCAUAGAAUAAGGUGUAAUAAAUGUACCUCUUUUUUUCAAAAAAAAAAAAACUAUCAUAUUAAUUUCCCUCCAUCUCUCUCCUCUACCACUCUAUUUAUUGUAUUUUUUGAAAAACUAAAUAUUCAUCUUCCAAAUACUACCUCCGGUCCUAUUUACAAGAGACAAUUUACUUUUUAGAUACAUUGAAUAAUUUAUAUAUUUAGUUUAGGUUCUUGACUAUAUACAUACAUGGAAUAAUUUACUUUUUACAACUCAAUAUUUAGUUCAGCUUGGUUCAUUCACAAUAUUUUUUCCUUGUGCGUUAUAUAUUUUUCUCAGGUGACAAGUGCUCAAAACUCACUCAUUUGUUCUCAUAUGACAGCUAUACCACAAUAAGUUAUAUAAUUACCCUCUUUCAAUUUUUUCACGUUUUUCUCAUAUGUUCUCAACUAAUUCCUUAUGUAACGUAGCUAUGACUAUGUUACACUACUUAAAUUGCAAUUGUACAUCCGAAUGACUAUUUUUUAUAUUUUACGGAAUGAGAUUAGUCUUUGAAUUUGUUGCUACUAUCUAAAUUUUUGGAGUUAAAUUUGUUCUUGUUAUCUAAAUCCUUCCAUAUAGUUAUUUUUGGAGUAUAUAAAUGUUCUGCUUUCAUAAUUGAGUUAAAUUUUUUCUGGCUUCUAUAUUUAAAUAAAUUUUCUUCGCACUUAGCGUUCCAUUUAAUUCAUCAAUACUUUUCCAUGCACUUAAAAAAAUGGUUAUAAAAAUAAAAAAAAAAGUGAAUGGUUAAUAGGAUAGUCUUUGUUGAAAAAAGAGGUACAUUUAUUGCACCUUAUCCUAUGCAAUGUUGCAUAGGUUAGAAAAACCCUAUAACAAGAUGGAAUAAGCCAAUGAAACAUUGGCAUAUAUAUUUGUGGGUUAUACCAUGGAUAUUCAAAAACAGUUGUUUUCUUUGGCACAUUAAUUGGUUUAUUCAUGAUAGCGAAUGGUCAAAACUCAGUAGCGUUUUUGGUCCAUCCUCCCAAUUCUUGCACUUUAAAGAAGUAGAAAACAGAAGCUGUGAAUAUAUAAAAUCAGAGUAUUUUUUAAUCAUAUCUAAAGAGAGAAUCUAUAUUGCUUUGAAAGAAUGACUUCAUUAUUCUAAUACAGUUGAAACAUAGCACACUAAAUGAGGCAAAUAGUGAGGUGGAAAUUCGAUCCUUCUAAUUUCAAACAAAGACACAAAAGAGAAGAAAACAUAUCAGUAUAAAAUUUUAAUUCCUUUUGUGCAAUCUCAUUCAUAUAUUAUGAAGUGGUGAUAACUUUUACCUUAUGACAUUGGAUGUGUUCUCUCAACCACUGCAUAAAAUGGAGCAUAUUAUGAUUCUAUUUCUAAAAGCUGAACAUGAAAAAUAAUAAAGAAAGAAUCUUAAUGGAAAAACUUAUUUCAAGACUAUAUAUGAUACUAGCUCCUUCAAGCAUAUGCCAUUGUUCUUAAAAAAGGAGAAUUAGUAGCAUUCAAGAGAAGUAUAUCCAAAGCAUAAAACCCUUGAGAAUUAGCCUAUAUAACUUGUUGGGAGUGUCAUUUGAUACUUAGCAAACUAGACACAUUAAAGUAAGCAAAUCAGUCAUAGGGCAUGUCUCUAUUGGCAGGUGAUAUGGUGAUAUUUCAUUUGACUUUAAGGCUCUAAAAAUUCACUUGCCAAAGGAGAGCUGCCCUACGAGUGUUUAGCUUAAACAUUUUUUACAUUUCUCCUUGUUAUUCAUUGCAAGGAGCUUCUCAGCUUUAAAUAAAGGCAUGAUUUUGUUAGGGAUGUCUUUUUUGAUAUAUUUAGGUGGGCGGUCGUAACUUUGAAGAAGGAGACGCUCGUUAACUUCUUGGUCGACUCAAAAAAAAGAAAAUUGACACUUAGGCCAACAUAUGUUCUUGUGUAUGUGUGGGUAGGAGGGUAACAUGCAUGUUUGAACUUGACUGAGGUCUCCCCGAGUGACUGUAUCCUCUUCAAGGUUGCCACACUCGACGAAGUUUGGCAAUUCAUAAAGUGUCUCUUUUUUUUUUUUCUUCUUUUUCUGAAUGGACAAUAUUAGUACGGUAAUUGUUAUGCUAAUUUUUUCUCCUUUCUAGGACUUGAACCCUAAACCUCUAACUCCUUAUAACCUUUUUCUCAAACCAGUUGAGCUACCCUAUCUUGAAGGGAUAUACAUUUCAACACCACCUCUAUUGUAGACAUUAAAACUCACACGCUAUAAUUCAUAAAAUUGAUUAGUUCAUUUUUUAAACUCAUCAUCAUGCCAUCUUCAAUCAGUAUCAAAGUACCUUAGCAGUCUCAUCAUCUUAUAGGUAGGAACUAUAUAUAACAAAAAGUACGAGUGUUAAUUGUGACAAUAAGCGAUUUUUGGAUAGUUUCUUGAACUACAAGCUAUUGUUAGAAAGUACAGAUGAUUAACUACUUGUUAGUUAGUUAGUUAUGUUGUUAAUUAGUUAGAUAAGCUUGUAUGUAAAUAACUUACUCUAAAUACACUUGUAGAGUCUGCAACAUAUUUUGUCAACAACUUCUAUUGGUGAUGAACCCAAAAUUAAACAUUGAGCAGUAAAAGGAGGAUCUUGCCAUUCAACUAAAGGAAGGAAGUUGAACCAAAGGGAAGGUUGGUGGUGAACAAAUUCUAGGUAUUGCACUAAAGAAAGAUUCAAGACUUCAUUUUGUCCAUCCAUUUUAGGAUGGUAGAAAGUACUCAUUCUCAACUUGAACAGUUUGCGCCAAAUAUUAUUGAUGAAAGCAUGAUCCAUGUCAGAGACUAGUCUUCUAGGUAACAUUACCAUGAGGAAGGAAUAAAGGUGAAGUCAAUAGAAAGAUCUUCCCAUAUGGAAUAAUUAACUAGCAAAGUGAUUGAUAUUUGGCAAGUCUAUCAGAACUCAUCAAGUAAUAAAAGAGUUUGUAUCCACAGGUAUUAUACGAUUAGUUAGAAAACUUACCAAUUAUAUGUUAGUUAUAAGUGAUCAAUUUAGAGGGUUUGCAUAAACUUUGGUUUUAAAGAAUGAAAAUAAAUUGAAUAAAACAAGGAUGGAAAAAGCGAUUAGAACUUUUGAAUUUCUUACGUGAAUUAAUGUUAUUUAAAGUUUGAAAGAACGCUAAUUAUCACAUUAAGAUGAUGCAAUAUGUCUAAAGCGUUUAUCUAAUGAACAUUUAUCCAAGAUCCAGUUACAAUAACCAAGACUAACAGACAAUUGUUUCCUAGUUCAUUUCAUAAGGAUACUUGAAUAAUUAUAAAUUUUAACUGCAUAAAUAGGUACUCAAUAUGGUUAAAGUAGAUCUUAACGAGCAUAAUGAAGCUGCCUCUGGUAAUGGAGUUGUUUUGAUGAUGAUUGAUUAAAACUAGGUAUUAAGUGUGUUUGAUGAUGUUUAUUGUUUACAUGUUCAUAGUAAUUACUAACGAUGUUUACAUGUGCAUAGUAAUUAGUAUAUAUUAAAGCACCUAGCCAUCCAUGAUCUUAAGUUUCUUCAAAGUGUCUCGUCUGUCAAGUUUCAUUUUGUGUUUCAUUUUGUGGCAAAACUCAUUUCUUCGUACCUUUGAAUCGUAUCACAAAUUGAUGAUUUGUAUCAUGCUCGAAUCGAAUCACAAUUUGGUUGUUCGUAUCAUUUGAGUUCUCUAAUCUUGUGAUUUGCCUGAACAAAUCGUAUCAAAUAUUCUUUAUUUGUAUCAAUCUUCAUCUGAAAUUUUUUGAAUUGUAUUAAAUAUUAUUUAUUCGUAUCAAUCUUUAUAGCUUCAAAUUUAUCCUUGCCUGAAUGAAUAUUCUAGCAAGAUGUUGGGACAGCUGUCCUAGACAUGUUAGUACAACAACUUAACUUAAGGUGAAGUAUUAUAUUUCGCAAUCUUGAAAGAUUUGGUUUAUGCGUGAGAUCAUUGAAGAUUUGAUAGAAGAGAUGAUUCACGUAGCUUGUGCUCCAAGAAGCGUGUGGUUCUAGAAGCCUCCGUUGUCGUUUUGUCCUUGACCGUGUUUUAGUAUUUAAUGUCCUAAACAUUUUAGGAAACAUUUUAUAUGCUUCUAUAAAAUUGUAGCUGAAGACACUAUUGGAUCAACUGUAUUGUUUAGCCCGACAGAUGAUCAAGCCCAUGCACUCUCUGUCUAUAUAAAGGAAGACUCAAACCUAAAGAAGACUACUGAAGUCGCAAUUGAGAAAAGUGUCAUCUAGAGUUUUAGUUUGUACUUUGUUAUUUGUGAGCCACUCUUGUAUACCCUUGAUGCAUUGAGUUGGACUGAUAGUUGAGUUGUAUUUGUGAACUGCUCUAAAGCUUUUAAGCAAAUAGUGGGUUUUAUUUAUUGGAGUGUGUCUCCUUGAGUGUAAUCAUUGAAAUCACGGGUUGUGUGAUUAAGAGAAAGUGAGAUGGGAUCUCAUAUCUAAGAGAUUCUUAAAUAGAAAUAUCACGGGAAGUGAUUAGGUGAGAAGGCAGUGAACCAACUACUGUUCACAUAGGACUUCAAACUAAUACUAUUAUAGUAGAUUUCCUUCCUGGCUUGGAUGCCCCCAGAUGUAGGUGACGUUGCACCGUACUGGGUUAACAAAUAUCUUGUGUUAUUUCCUUCUUGUACUUUACUUUAAAGUUCUUUAUUGUUUAUUGUGUUAAGUAUUUGUUAUUAAGUGUUAUGAACAUUUCAUUAGACAUUCCUGGUGUUCUGGACAUCUCAUAGAAUAUCUGUCCCGUACGUGCCAGAAUUUAAGUAUCAAUCUUUAUUUAGAAACUUUUGAAUCAUAUCAAAUAUUUUUUAUUCGUAUCAAAUCUUCACAACUUUAGAUUUUUUUUCCUUUUUCAUGUGUCUGAAUCGAAUCAUACUUAACAUGAUUCGAAUCAUGUAGUUGUUUUUGCCACAAAAAUUGCACUUGGCAUUCAUGUAUAUGUAUAGUUAUACUCAUACACCUUCCAACUUAUUUAAUCAAUUGCAAAUAAUAUUCUAGAGUCUCCAAACCUCGCUCUCCACUUGUUCUUGAGAUUAAACACUUUUUCUAAGAUUUUUUUUGUGGAUUUUUAGUCAUAGAUUGCUAGAGUGUUAUAGGAAUUGUACACUAGUUUAUUUUGAAGUAACUUGAUUGAGGAUCAAGGAUCUAAAGGACAAGAGGGAUUUCUUUCCACCUCGAAGGGGAAUUGUGGGGGUCUUUCUAACUUUUCAAGUUUAAGGGGAUCCAAACUUUAAACAUAGAAAAUAAGAAUUUAAGGUGAAGGAAUUCCCAGGAUUUCAUGGGAACUUGAGUUUCGAAAACUUAGAAAAUCUCCAAUUUCAACGGGUACUUGAAGAUCGGUGGUGUUGUGAUUGCUUAGGAUUGAAGAUUAGGGUUAUCGAGGGAAUUAUUUGUAAUCAUAACAAUUUCUAAACAAUUUUCAACAAUAGUAAAAGUUCAUGAUAACGACGUUUUCUAUCAAGAAGAGUAAACAUAUCUCGAAGCGAGGACGAAAGGGGCAACUACUAUAAAUCCCGGUGGUCUCUACUCUAUCAUUUUAUAUUUUUGCCUUACUAUUUGUAUAUGAAUUUUGUGUUCGACACUAUUUGAUUUGAUUGUGAUUAAUUUUUUAACUUAACAUAAUCUCGAUUCAUUGAAUUAAUAUUCUUUUCAAAUUCAAUUUGAUCAUAAUUAAGUUUCGUCUCUAUGUGGUUUAUUGUAAUUAGGUUUGGUUUGAGUAUGUCUAAUUUUGAAAUUUUUAUGCUUGAUUAUUAAUAAUUGAUGAUUUUAAACAUUGUCUUAGACUUGUCAUCAUUGAAAUCUGAUAAGUCAUACGUUUUCAAUUCACGCCUUCGCAAACUCUUUUGAAAAUCAAAAAACCUUUUUAACCCCCCAUGCACCUUCUUGUUCAUCGUAAAGACCAAUAAAUGACAUCAAGAACGUGGUCUGUUCACUAACAGUUAACUACCGAAAGAGUCGAUAUGAUGAACAAAGAGCCUUAGUGGGAGUACAGUAGGGCUCCAAUUUUUUACGGCAAAAAAUGUGAAUAUUGGAAAGAAUGCAUGAACUUCCAUAUUCAAUCAGUCGACAUGGAUGUUGGGAACGCCAUGGUCAACUAGCGGUCCGAACCUCAAGUUGAAGUUAACGGGGUUGCAAAAAUUAAACAUAAGGCCAAUUGGACCGACAGUGAUAAAAAGAAGGUUCAAUAUGAUUUGAAGGCAAGAAACAUUCUUAUUUCCACCAUUAGCGUGAAUGAGUAUCAAUCGGUUUCACAUUGUAAGGCCACUAAGGCAAUAUUGGAUGCUUUGGAAACCCUCCUUGAGGGUACCGAAGACGUGAAGCGAUCAAAAUCAAUAUUCUCAUCUAGCGAUAUGAACUAUUCACAUGGAGGAUGGUGAAACGGUGUCGCUCGUGCAAAUGAGCUUCAGUCAUAUGGUUAACGAACCGCAAUACUUAAGGAAAAGACGUCUCGAACGAAGAUUGUACUAACAAGGGACUGAAAUGCGGGACCAAAAAAUGGGCAGUCCUAGGUCCCCCCAAUAAAGGAAUCUCAACCUUUAACCCCUUUGGAAUCCCCUGUCUUUUUGGAAAGCUUGACCGACUUUGACCCCGAGAUCCUAAGGGGGGACACAACUCGGGGGAAAAGUCCUGAACAAGGGGAGUGUGAGCCCACUGUGUUCAAACGCCCCGUGGNNNNNNNNNNNNNNNNNNNNNNNNNNNNNNNNNNNNNNNNNNNNNNNNNNNNNNNNNNNNNNNNNNNNNNNNNNNNNNNNNNNNNNNNNNNNNNNNNNNNCUCCUUUUUCUCCCAAAGUUGAUUUUCACGUAAAAACGUUUUUCUGACUUUUCUCUUUUCUUAACUCCCAAAAAGUAACUUCCCUUUCUUUUCAUUAAACUCCCCUUAAUUCUAUUAAAUAUUAAUUAACUCCCCACACUCCAAAAUAAUACUAAUUCUCACUUAUUCUAAUUAUUAUUAAAAUAAACUAUAUAAUAAAAUCUAACACACCAUAAAAUCCACAAAUAUUAUUUUAAAAUCAUAAAAAGACUCCACAUAAAUCCAAAAUAAUUAAAUUAACGACUAGGGCGUUACAACUCCAAAUCCAAAUAUAAUCCUUCCUAUGAGAAAUUACAAGAAGCUCUAGUAGACAUGCAUGAUGAUGCUUUGAAAGCUUUUGAGAAAUUAAUUGUUUAAAAGAAAAUUAAUCUAAAACUGGAAGCCGAGCUUUCACCACGUAAAAAUAAUUUAAAAUGUUGAAAAGACGAGUAUGCAUCUCUAGUAAAUGAGAAAAUUGUAAUUCCUCACAUUGAGCCACCUAAAGCUAAUUCAUCCAAGUAUGAUUCAAAUUGGAUGGAUUUUUCAAGUUGUGAAACUUGUCCUAGUUUACACGAACAGAUUAAAUCUCUAACAUGUACACAAGAACAAGCCUCCAAAUCCCCAUAGUUUUGCGUGAAUAAGAAAUCCAAUGCGGGGGCUGGUAAAGAGAACUUCUCCUUGUCUCCCACUACUCAGAUCUAAACUUAUCCCUUACGAAUCAAAGAGAAAUUGAACCAACAAUAUUUACUAGUGAUUAGGUUAUGGUUUUCAUUUUUCAAGAGUCAAGACAUUUGAUUGUUGAAUUUGAUUAUGAUGGAUAAAAGGAUUUUAAUGAUGAACUAUUUUUUUUUAGUCAAUCUUAGUUGAAAGGAUAAGAGUCAUCUUAGUUGAAAAUAUGGUGUCAAUCUUAGUUGUGGGUUUCUCUUAGUCAAUUACGAUAAUCCAACUCAUUGUACGCUCUAUAACGCACUAGUCGUUAUUUUAAUUAUUUCUGAUUUAUUUAGAGUUUUUUAUAUGAUUUUAAAUAAUUAUUGUUGAUUAUGUGGUGUGUUGUAUUUUAUGAAAUGAUUUAUUUUUAGUAUUUAUUAGAAUAAUAUGAGAAAUAUAAUUAUUUGGAAUUCUAGGGGUUAUAUUUUAAUUAAGGGAAUUAAGUGGAAGUUAAUUAGAAUUAAGAGGGAGUUAAGUAAGGAGUUGGAGAAGUCAGAAAAACAGUUUUACGUACAAGCAGUUUUUGGGAGAAAAGGCUAGGAGAAGAGAAACCAAGAGGAGAGAACAAGAAUUCUGUAGAGCUUUGUUCUUCAACUAAGGUAAGGGUGAGGUUUACUCUCAAUAGCAUAGAUUAAAGUUCUGAUUUUGAUUUUAACAUGAGGGUUUUGGUUAAUUUGGGAAUUGGGUUUAGAUUUUGAUUCUUUGAUUUUUGGAUGGAAUGAGUGUAGAAACCACUGUAUUAGUGUUAGAAUGCAUUCAGGAGGGUUGUCUCUUGUUCAUUGGAGGAGUCAAUAUGCAUGGGAAGCUCUUUAUCAUAAUGAGAACUUGGGGUCUAUUUCCUUAGAGGUGGAUGAGACUGAUGUAGGAGGGUUUUCUUAGUAAUUUAUUAGUAUUUUAUUAAUUCAGCCUAAUUUUAUUAUUUGUUUGUUUUAUUUUAUGUUUGUUAUUUUUGGCCCUUUAAGGUUUGUUAUUUCCCUAUUUAAGCUUUACAGAUGUAGCCUAAGAGGCAACUUUUUUUACAAUAUUAUUUCAGAGAGCUUUUCUCAAUUUUUUGUGGUUUCCAGAACCUUUAUUUCAUAAGUUUGUCGAAUGCAAACUUGUCUUUUUUCAAUCUAGGUUUAAAGCUUGCUAGCCUACGCUUCUGUACUGCAUCACAUCCACAUUGGUUUAGAUCCAAGAGAGGGAGAAGGUGGAGUUUGUAAAACCUCUAAGAGGGUAUGACUCAUAGCACUCUUGGCUGUAGUCUAGAAAAUUGAGUUACUUUGAAAUCGUGCAUGGAGUCAUUGCCAUGACCUUUAAUUAGCUUGUAGUUGAAGUUAUUUUCUGAUAUUAUCCUAUCUAUCCGACUUUUCAUGUGAUCUUUGAAGCACCUCUUGUUUCUUUCAUAUGUACAAAACUGGUUUGAAAGGUGAGAUGUGCUUCCUCUUAAUAAACACUUCUCAACAGUCCUAUCUAUCCAAUGUGGGACAAAAUCCAGCCCCUCAAAGCCAACACAAUGAAGGUGUUAGAGGCUGUAAUGAAGGCAAACCAAAGGUCGCAAUUUAGGCGACUAGGGGCGAACCGUAAUAAAGGUGGAAUUUCCAAGACACCCCAUCACGCUUCAGCCUAGCCCAAUGGGCCUAAAGCAUGGAUGAUAUGGGAUACCCAACAAAAGAUCUAGGAUAGGCUCUGAUACUAUGUCGAAAUUUAGGGUCUAGCUCAUUCUUACAAAACCGACUUGUAAGGUGAGGAGUGUCUCGUAUGGUUAUUUUGCAUAUUAUUGAGAAAAUGUAUUUGAUUCGAUGUUGGAAAAAUAAACGUCCAAGUUUUAACUUCAUAUCCACAUGAAAAAACUACAAUAUUAUUUAUCGUACGUAUGAUACAGUCCUAUCAAAUUGGAAUGUAAGCACGGACCGGUGAAUACAAGGGUAUUAUUUUAUUUUAUUUUGGGGGGGCGGGGGGAGGGGGGUGGGACCAAUAAGAGGGGCCGAUAGAACUAGUUUGUUGUUGUGGUAUAUAACUUACAUUGGCCCAAGUCCAUUAACCUAAACCUAAUUUCAUCUUCUCUCUCGAUGGAAAUUGCAUAUAAAAGUGGCCGCAUCCACAAUAUAUUUCUCCCCAAUUUCUUCUUCUUCCUUAUUUUUCCUUUAUUUUAUGUUUACCAGUUUUUUCGCGAUUCUUCAUACUGUUUGUUGUUCUGUUCACGUGUUCUCAUAUAUACUUUAUUUAUUAAAUCAAAUUUUCAAUAUCUCAGUGCCUCUUAAAUUCCAUUAGAGAUUGAUCCUUGAUUCAUCUGAAAAGUUCAGAAAUUAAUCUAGUUGUCAAACUGUGUGCUUUAAAUUUGAUUUACAACUAAUUUGUAACGACAAUACCCAUCAAGAGAAUUAUCAAUCUAAUAGUUUGACCAUUUCUUCUACAUGUUUUGUUUUUUCUCAAAAUUGUUCAGAUUUACAGAUCCAGUUUGAUCAUUGCAAUAAUGGAUGAAGGUCAAUCUGCAGAUGGGAAUGAAGAUAUUCAUCAAAUAAAAUUGUCAAAAACCUCCAAAUCAAAUCGACGAAAUACCAAAGGUAUCCAAAAAUAAUAUGUAUUUUUUUUUGAAAGGAUCCAUAAAUAUUAAAUUGUUAUCCAUUUAAUUGUUAUAUAUUCAAUAUUUAAAUGGUGGCUAACAUUCAUUUGUACAUUACAAAAUUUGAAUGAGCUAUUUUUUUUUUUUUUUUUAAUUUUCAAUUCAAACUGCCAAAGAUGAUAACCAUGCUUUGGUCACUAUUCAAGACUCUAAAGGCUUGUUUGAUCUCGUAAUCAGUAAGUUUCAUAUAUUUGAAAUGAAAGUAUUUGAAUUCCAAAAGAAAAUUCAAGAUGAAUUUCAACUUCCUGAUAUAGGUUAGUAUCAUUUUUCCCUUCCAACUAAAAAUUAAGUCUAAUUUUUAGUCAUUAAAUAUACCUUGCAAUUUUUUAUUUUUUAUGUUUUCAAUCCUCUAUAUUAAUAUUAUGCAGUAGUUUCACUAUAGUAUAAGUUAUGAUAUAUUUAAAUAUAUGAUGACAUUUUACCUUUUGUUUUAAAUAGUGAUGUCUAAAGACAAUACACCAGACAUUAUCUCCAUGACUUUAGAACUUGGAGCAGCACGCUAUAUUGUUAACGCAUUUUGUAAUGAAAACUUUAGAGACAUUUGGAAGUAUGCAUUGGAAGCAAAGAAAAAUAAACUAUUUAUUGAUAGUUUAUCUGCAGCAGGUGAAGAACAAGAGACAUCAACUGAUCUACUACAAACAAAAAAGAAAUGUAGUAAAAGAAAGAGUUGUGAUUAUAGCCAAGAUGAAGGGGAGUUUGAAAUUAAUAAGAAAUUUAGUAAAAUCAUCACAACUCCCCUUCAUCUUAACAACUCCAAACUCCCAUUCACCUUGGUGAUUACCAAAACUCUUUCUUUUACUACAUUUCUUUUUUGUUUGUAGUUGAUCAAUUGAUGUUUCUUCUUCUUCACUUGCUGCAAAUAAACUAUCAAUAAAUAGUUUAUUUUUCUUUGCUUCCAUAGCAUAUUUCCAAAUAUCUCUAAGGUCUUUAGGACAAAAUGGUUUAACAAUGUAGGGUGCUGCUCCCUGUUCUAAAGUCAUGAGAUUAUGUUUGGUGUAUUGUCUUUCGACAUCACUAUUUGAAACAAAAGGUAAAAGUCAUAUAUUUAAACAUAUCAUAACGUAUACGAUAGUGAAAGAACCGCAUAAUAUUAAUACAGAGUAUUUAAAACAUAAAAAGUUAAAAAGGACAAAAUUGCAAGGUAGAUUUAAUAGUUGGGAGGGAAAAAUGAUACUUACCUAUAAUAGGAAGUUGAAAUUCAUCUUGAAUUUGCUUUUGGAAUUCAAAUCCAUUCAUUCCAAAUAUAUGAAACUCCCCGAUUAUGAGAUGAAACAAGUCUUUAGAGUUUCGAAGAGUGACCAAAGCAUGAUGAGCAUAUAUGGCAGUUUGAACUGAAAAUUAAAACAAAAUAAAUAAAAUAAGCUCAUUGAAAUUUAUUUUUCUUUGCUUUUGUUCUAAAGCUGAAAAUUGUUUUAAAGACACAAGCAUUUGUUGUUGUACAUUUAAUAUUUCUUCGGAACAUCAUAAAUGAUUUGAUUUACUUUUUCCCACUCCUAGAUAACAUUAAGAAAGACAAUGAGGUUGAAAUUUAACAAUUUUGAUUUGAAUUCUUCUUAAUAGACUUUUAUGGUCAAUACAAAGGUUUAUGUAUAUCUAGACAUGUGGAACUCAAUGAUUUGGUAUAAGAAAAAGUUAAAAAGAGCAAAGAAAUUGUUUCUAAUGAUAAUAAAAAAGAAGCUGAAAUGAUGAAAAAUUCUAAGAGUCACGAUAAAGAAUUUUCUAGUUCCUCUGGCAAGGACUGGGAAAGAAAUGAUGAAAUGAUUCAAGGAGCACUGAUAGAUGGACCACCUUAGGUGGUUCUACCACUCAUACCACCCUUGUGUGGCACAUUUAAUUAUUAAAAGAAAUAGCUUAAUAAUCCAUGUCAUACCAGAAGAUAAAAAGAAAAAGAAAGUUGUACAUUCUCUCUCUCUCUCUCUCUCUCUCUCUCUCUCAUCUCAUUCACUCGGUCCUCUCUCUCUCCCACUCUUGUUCCAUUUUCUCUAGGGAAGAUGAUUUCCACAACCAUUCUCGUUGAUGCCGUCGCCGUUACAUCUUGAUAGAUUUUUCGGAAGGUUGAUCUCCAACCACAUCCUUGUUGUCACUGUCGAUUUUUCUGUGCUCAGGAAUCCCUAUUUUGUUCCUCCUGUUUUCUUCCUCUUCCAUCUUCAACUCAGGUAUAUUCAUCUCUGGUCUUUUUGUUCGAUUCACUAGUUCCGACUUGCGAUUUUUGUUUGUUCCUUUCUUUUUGUGUGUGUGAUUCAAUUCUCUUGUUCCUCAUAUCAGUUUAAUUUGAAUUAAAUUUAAACAUUUUUUAUGAAAAAUGUAAAUCUCAAUUCGGUUCAUUUAUCAGUUUAAUUUGAAUUAAAUUUAAACAUUUUUGUGAAAAUUGUAAUCUCAAUUUGGUUAAUCCAGAGUACUAAGAUGGGAUAUAAAGUGAUUUUUUUGAACCAUAUAUGCACUUUAGCUAAGAUAUUGAAGAUGUGUAGUUAAUCAUGGGUGGAAUUUGAUGUUAUUAGUAUUUGAUUGAGUUUGAUCGAUUAAGUCUUUAGAGACUGGGUUAGUCUCUUAAUAAAUCCUUACUUUUUUUUUUAUGGAAAUUGAGUCAGUUUAUUAGUUAACAAUGGAGGUGUAAUGCUGAUUAGAUUUCAUAAUAAGAUAAUUUAAUCAAAUGUUUAUUGGUAUCUUAAUUGCAUUAGAUUUAUGUUGUGAUAUUGAUAAACUUAUAGGUGACCAAUUUUGAAUGCAGAACAACAAUUUGGUCACGCCUUUGAAAAUUUGUGGUUAUAUGCUUCAAUUAUUUGGUUAUAUGUAUUUUUCCUGUGAAAACAAUAUCAAUUUUUCAAUUUAUCAACAAAAUAUCAAAAGUUACCACCUUCUAUGUUUCUUGGUCUCUUAAUCACGCUAAUAAAUGACAAAUUUUGAACGCAGGAAAAAAACUAUGGUCGUGCCUUUGAAAAAUCGUUGCUAUAUGGUUUUGUUAUUUGGUUUUGUGUAUUUUUUCUUCGAGAAAAAUAUCAGUUUUGCAAAUUUAUCAGCUAAAUAUCAAAAGUGACCACCUUCUAGGUUUCUUGGUCUCUAAAUUACAUUUGAUUUAUGUUGUGAGUUCACUUCAAAGCUCAAUUGUACAACCAUUUCUGUUGUGAUGAAUCUGAAUCUUAACGUGGAUGCAAGAUGCUUCAAGGAUGAUACAAUGAGAUAGUAGUCUAGAUACUGUAUAAGAUUUAUAGAAUUUGUUGCAACAAAACUAGAAUGAAGGCCACUAUCCUCUGCUUUGGCCGAAGUAUUAGCUCUACAGCGGUGUCUCCAAUGGAUCCUCACAACAAAUCAAAAUGGACACGUCCUCGUAGAAACUGAUUCUAAAGUCACAAUGAAAUGUAUCCAAGGUCUGAUUUGGAUGAUUGAGAUAUAAAAUAUUAUUCCAGACUGCGUAGACAUUUCAUCCACUAUGUCCAAUUGUGUUGUUCCUUUUAUUAAAAGAACUAAGAUUAUUCUUGUCCAUAGCCUAGUGGUAGUAGAAAAAAGUUUGGUUUUAACUCAUGGUUGGGAUAUGUCCCUAAAACCGCAGCCUCUGCUACUUAUACUAAUAGGCAUAACCAUCUUUAAUCGAAUACUUGUUUGAUUGUAAAAAUAAUUAUUCAUGUAUCAAUGUUGCACUAUGAACACAGAUAAUUGCAUCUAGUCACUUAACUUUCUAUCUUGAUUAUCAUGUAACUUAUAGAUGAGUAAUUUUGGAUGCUUGAAAAAAAGAUGGCUAUAUCUUUAUAAUACUGUGGUUAUAUGUUUCAAUUACUUGGUUACUAGGAAUUAUCUUGUGAAAACUAUAUCAUUUUAAACCAAUCUAUCAAAGAAAUACUGAAAGUAACAAUUUAUUAUACUUCUUUGACUAUAAUUCCAUUAAGUUUCUUUUGUGAGGUUGGUAAACUUACAAAUGAGAAAUUUAGAAUGCAUGAAAAAAAUAUGGUUACUCCUUUGUAAAAUUGUGGGUAUAUGCUUCAAUUAUUUGGUUACAUGGGUUAUCAUAUGAAAACUAUAUGUCAAUUUAAGUCAAUAAUAUACCAAAAAUAACCACCUAUUACGUUUCUUGAACUCUAAUUCCAGUAAUUUUUGUUAUGUUAAUUGAAAAAAAAAAUAUCAGGAACUUGUGAAAUAACCAAACAGUUAAAAUGUGUAUCCACUUUUCAUCAAAAGAGUAACUACAAAUUUUUUAGUAUUGAAAUUAGCAUGUGACUUUGUAUAUCGUCUCUUAAUUACAACACACAUAAAAAGGGCACACUCAUGACAUUUCUCUGAUAAGUUUUGAGAAAUUUUAAAAAUUUGACAAGAACGUGUGAACUUAACAAAUUGCUGAAGCAUCUUUAUUGUAGAAAUUAACAUUAUCACCUCAUAAUUUUACAAGUUACUUAAAAGGGACACACUCAUGGUAUUUCUCUUAUAAGUUUUGAGUAAUUUCAAAAAUAUGACAGCAACAUGUGAACUAGCCAAAUUGUUGAAGCAUGUAUCCACUUUUUAUCAAAGGAGUACCUAAAAAAAAAAAUAGUGUUGAAAUUAACAUUUGUUACUUUUUAUCAUCUCAUAACAUUAUAUAAACAUAUAAAAGGGACACACUCGUGGUAUUUCUAUGAUAAGUUUUUAGAAAUUUCAAAAAUAUGAAAGAAACUCGCGAACUAACCAAAUUGUUGAAGCUUUUAUCCACUUUUUAUCAAAAGAGUAAACCAUUUUUUUACCAAAUUUCAUUACAUACAAAAAUAAGUUACGAACUUAUAACAAAAUGAUAAUAUCUUCCAAUGGAACUAAAACUUAGCAUGUCUUGUUAUAAUUUUACAAUAGAACUAUAACUCAUCAAGUCCUAUCACUAAUUUACAAAUUUCCUGCAAAGGGAUGAACUUUUCCUUGUGAUUGAGUUCACCUCAUCCUGUAUCAUCUAUGAUGGCACGUUAUUAGGUUGACUUGUUGAUAAGUAUCAAUCCUAGAUAAUUCAAUUGAUCUAAGCACUGCAUUCAAUAUCAAAGCUCUCAUUUUCACAACUUUCAUGGAUGUGUUGUUUUUAUCAAAAUCAACUUGCUAAUCAACGGAUCAACCUGAAAAUUCAUCAAUGUUAAUGCUUCUAUAUCGAACUUAAGAAAAUAAUAAUAGAAGGUAACCUAACAUGUUAUUGAAAUUAGCAUAGUCCAUUUUUUUUUUUUAUCAUUACUUGUUCAAUGGCUUAAUGAGCAACUAUAUUUGUUCUUGGACCAACUUUUAAUUAAUCAUAAUCUAACAAGAAUACAGAAUCUAACACACAGAAACAUCAUUGAUCAAAGGAAGUAACAUACCUUUUUGUUCUGUUUCAUGGUUCAUGACUAAAUGAACAUGUUGAAAAGCUUGAAUAAGGAAUGCUAAGUAAAUAAAACUACACCCAAAUAAAUUCAUCAUUUUGUAAACUAACAGCAGGACUUAACAUAUAAAACUAAACAAGAAACAUGCAAAAACACCCCAAUGAUGCUAAAAAAGCAAUGACAACAAAUCAAAGAAACCCAAGAUAAGAUAUGUGUAGCCAAAACCAAAUGCCUCUACAACUAAAAGUACAACUUAGUCCAACUAACCGCACAAUUAAAAGGGUUCCAAUAACCCCAUGAAGCUUAAACAAAGAAGAUACAUGAUCAAAUGAAACAGCAGAGCAAUGAAUCCCAAAAAAUAUGUUAUGUGAAGUACUCCCUCCGGUCCUAUUUAUAAGAGAAGUUUAGGUCAACAGUAUUUGGACUGAAUUUUUAACUAGAUACAUCAACUUUUGUUGACAAAAAAUUCUCUUAUAAAUAGGACCGGCGGGAGUAUAUUGCUUGGGACGCCUGACCAAUUCAAAACUGAACAUAAGACAUCCCCUAUGACCACAAACUCAUUAAUAUAAUCACAAGAUUCAUCAUCAAAAACAUCACAACUCCGCACAACCAUACAAUUCAACCUACAAGCUUAUUCACCAUGAAUCAUUCAUAGGCAUAAUUCUCUUCAAACAUGAAAAUUACAAAUUCUUUAAACUGUACACUAAUCAACUGAACUACUACUACGAGAAAAAUGAAACUACACAUCAAUUCAUAAUAUAAGUCCAGCAAAACCCAUUUAAGAUGUUAUGAUGAUUUUAAAUAGAUUUAAUUUAAUCACAAAAUGGAUCACAAACAUUUCCUUCUUCACCUAAUUUAUUCUACUAUUAUGUAUACAAUUUACAGAGAAUACAUUUUAAUGGGAUAUUCUAAUGAAUAACAAUAUUUCACCUUAGAUCUUGAAACUGAUUAUUGAAUUUAAUGUUUCUUUUGCAACAAUAUUCACAACAAUUAUAACAAAUACAAACACAUGUUCUCAACACUAGUUUAAUGCACUUAACCAUAUUAUAACAAAUAAUUAACCACACUUUUUUUUCUUUCCAAAAUUCCCGCAGUUAGCCAUUUUUUAACAUAACUUUGACCACGAAUCACUAAAGACAUACUAAAUAAUUGGAGGAGAACUUGUGAAUUUUGACUGAGAAAAUAACAAUGAGAGGUGAAUGUUAUUCUAUGUAUAACAUGUUUCACACAAACUAACAAAAGAAUGACAUAACUUAACCAAUACAAAUUAUCAUCCCAACCCCAUUUGUAGAUCCCAUCAAAUGCAACCAACAACAUAAGAUCUUAAUAGGCAACAACCCAAAAGGAGACAAUAAGACAGUAAUGUAACAGAAGAUUUUAACAAAAUUAUGACCUAAACUUCUAAAUACUAUCAGGCUUCAAUUAACUCAUAAUUCUCACAAAAUCAAUAUCAUAAUAUGAUUAAUUUCUACACCAUGAAAUUCUAAUUCCUUUGAAGUUGUUCACAAAUAAUUUCAAAUCAACACAAAUCAUUAAGGUUUAACAAAUCAUUUAAAAAAAAACAUUCAAUUUUGGAGAAAAACAUUCAAGAUGCAGACAUAUAAACCAUAAACACAAAUCCUAGUCAUAAAAUAAAAUGAAAAUUUGAGAUUAACCUCGCCUAAGAAUAGAGAGAUUGUGGGAAGAAAACAAUUGCUGAUUGUGAACCGACAGUGAUUGUGAGACAACAGUUGUGUAACGAAAACGGGUUGGUCGGAAGAGAUCGCAGAAGAGGACAAACAGUGGGAGGAGAUCGCGUGUUGGUAGAGAGAGACUUCUCCAGUGAGGAUAGAGAGAAAUGAAAGAUAUGAUGUUUCCUUUUACCUUCUUAUUUUAUGUUUGUUUUAAUUUUAUUUUUAAUGUUUUAUAAGCUGCUUUCCAUGUCACUAGGCCUCUUUUUUUAAUAUUUUUUUUACCAACUCAAGAGUGGUAGGAGGGUGUAUCACCUAAAGGGUGUUCACGUAUCUUUUUCAUAUCAGUUAUAGCAAAACCCACUAAUUAUUGGUGCAAGAAAUAUUAACACAAAAAACCUUUAUUUAUAUGACCAAGUAUUUAUAUAUUUCUUUCUAUUCUCUGUUGUGUGACUUUUUUCCAACACUAAUUCAAGGUAAAUUUCAACAAAUAAGAACUUUAAAAUAACAAACAAAAAAUUAACCCACACAUGUUUCAACAAAAAAUAACAAAAAAGUAUAACUUAGAUAUAUUUCAAGCCUUAACCACUACAAUAUGUAUCGCAACAUUCGCGAUGCAAGCAAUCAUGACUGCAACCGCAGCCACAAUUUAUGAACGUAAGGUAUUGUGAAUGAAUGAGUGGUAAAUGAAUGUAGUGGUAGCCGAUAAUAGAUAUGGUGAAAAAUGCACGUUUAGGGGCUAAAAUAAAAGCAUCUCAGUCAAGAAAUGUUGUGAUGUUAGCUAACACCGGCGCAUAAUAACUUACGUUGGGUGCCACCGCGAGUUAACUCACGCUAAAGUUAUUUAGGGAAAAUCGGGGUGGAAUGAGAAAUACCAUAAGGAGAAAAGCAAUUUUUGAAUCAUAAUAACACUAAAAUAUAAAUGGGUUUUUCUAACCUAUGCAACAUUGCAUAGAAUAAGGUGUAAUAAAUGUACCUCUUUUUUUCAAAAAAAAAAAAACUAUCAUAUUAAUUUCCCUCCAUCUCUCUCCUCUACCACUCUAUUUAUUGUAUUUUUUGAAAAACUAAAUAUUCAUCUUCCAAAUACUACCUCCGGUCCUAUUUACAAGAGACAAUUUACUUUUUAGAUACAUUGAAUAAUUUAUAUAUUUGGUUUAGGUUCUUGACUAUAUACAUACAUUGAAUAAUUUACUUUUUACAACUCAAUAUUUAGUUCAGCUUGGUUCAUUCACAAUAUUUUUUCCUUGUGCGUUAUAUAUUUUUCUCAGGUGACAAGUGCUCAAAACUCACUCAUUUGUUCUCAUAUGACAGCUAUACCACAAUAAGUUAUAUAAUUACCCUCUUUCAAUUUUUUCACGUUUUUCUCAUAUGUUCUCAACUAAUUCCUUAUGUAACGUAGCUAUGACUAUGCUACACUACUUAAAUUGCAAUUGUACAUCCGAAUGACUAUUUUUUAUAUUUUACGGAAUGAGAUUAGUCUUUGAAUUUGUUGCUACUAUCUAAAUUUUUGGAGUUAAAUUUGUUCUUGUUAUCUAAAUCCUUCCAUAUAGUUAUUUUUGGAGUAUAUAAAUGUUCUGCUUUCAUAAUUGAGUUAAAUUUUUUCUGGCUUCUAUAUUUAAAUAAAUUUUCUUCGCACUCAGCGUUCCAUUUAAUUCAUCAAUACUUUUCCAUGCACUUAAAAAAAUGGUUAUAAAAAUAAAAUAAAAAGUGAAUGGUUAAUAUGAUAGUCUUUGUUGAAAAAAGAGGUACAUUUAUUGCACCUUAUCCUAUGCAAUGUUGCAUAGGUUAGAAAAACCCUAUAACAAGAUGGAAUAAGCCAAUGAAACAUUGGUAUAUAUAUUUGUGGGUUAUACCAUGGAUAUCCAAAAACAGUUGUUUUCUUUGGCACAUUAAUUGGUUUAUUCAUGAUAGCGAAUGGUCAAAACUCAGUGGCGUUUUUGGUCCAUCCUCCCAAUUCUUGCACUUUAAAGAAGUAGAAAACAGAAGCUGUGAAUAUAUAAAAUUAGAGUAUUUUUUAAUCAUAUCUAAAGAGAGAAUCUAUAUUGCUUUGAAAGAAUGACUUCAUUAUUCUAAUACAGUUGAAACAUAGCACACUAAAUGAGGCAAAUAGUGAGGUGGAAAUUCGAUCCUUCUAAUUUCAAACAAAGACACAAAAGAGAAGAAAACAUAUCGGUAUAAAAUUUUAAUUCCUUUUGUGCAAUCUCUUUCAUAUAUUAUGAAGUGGUGAUAACUUUUACCUUAUGACAUUGGAUGUGUUCUCUCAACCACUUCAUAAAAUGGAGCAUAUUAUGAUUCUAUUUCUAAAAGCUGAACAUGAAAAAUAAUAAAGAAAGAAUCUUAAUGGAAAAACUUAUUUCAAGACUAUAUAUGAUACUAGCUCCUUCAAGCAUAUGCCAUUGUUCUUAAAAAAGGAGAAUUAGUAGCAUUCAAGAGAAGUAUAUCCAAAGCAUAAAACCCUUGAGAAUUAGCCUAUAUAACUUGUUGGGAGUGUCAUUUGAUACUUAGCAAACUAGACACAUUAAAGUAAGCAAAUCAGUCAUAGGGCAUGUCUCUAUUGGCAGGUGAUAUGGUGAUAUUUCAUUUGACUUUAAGGCUCUAGAAAUUCACUUGCCAAAGGAGAGCUGCCCUACGAGUGUUUAGCUUAAACAUUUUUUACAUUUUUCCUUGUUAUUCAUUGCAAGGAGCUUCUCAGCUUUAAAUAAAGGCAUGAUUUUGUUAGGGAUGUCUUUUUUGAUAUAUUUAGGUGGGCGGUCGUAACUUUGAAGAAGGAGACGCUCGUUAACUUCUUGGUCGACUCAGAAAAAAGAAAAUUGACACUUAGGCCAACAUAUGUUCUUGUGUAUGUGUGGGUAGGAGGGUAACAUGCAUGUUUGAACUUGACUGAGGUCUCCCCGAGUGACUGUAUCCUCUUCAAGGUUGCCACACUCGACGAAGUUUGGCAAUUCAUAAAGUGUCUCUUUUUUUUUUUCUUCUUUUUCUGAAUGGACAAUAUUAGUACGGUAAUUGUUAUGCUAAUUUUUUCUCCUUUCUAGGACUUGAACCCUAAACCUCUAACUCCUUAUAACCUUUUUCUCAAACCAGUUGAGCUACCCUAUCUUGAAGGGAUAUACAUUUCAACACCACCUCUAUUGUAGACAUUAAAACUCACACGCUAUAAUUCAUAAAAUUGAUUAGUUCAUUUUUUAAACUCAUCAUCAUGCCAUCUUCAAUCAGUAUCAAAGUACCUUAGCAGUCUCAUCAUCUUAUAGGUAGGAACUAUAACAAAAAGUACGAGUGUUAAUUGUGACAAUAAGCGAUUUUUGGAUAGUUUCUUGAACUACAAGCUAUUGUUAGAAAGUACAGAUGAUUAACUACUUGUUAGUUAGUUAGUUAUGUUGUUAAUUAGUUAGAUAAGCUUGUAUGUAAAUAACUUACUCUAAAUACACUUGUAGAGUCUGCAACAUAUUUUGUCAACAACUUCUAUUGGUGAUGAACCCAAAAUUAAACAUUGAGCAGUAAAAGGAGGAUCUUGCCAUUCAACUAAAGGAAGAAAGUUGAACCAAAGGGAAGGUUGGUGGUGAACAAAUUCUAGGUAUUGCACUAAAGAAAGAUUCAAGACUUCAUUUUGUCCAUCCAUUUUAGGAUGGUAGAAAGUACUCAUUCUCAACUUGAACAGUUUGCGCCAAAUAUUAUUGAUGAAAGCAUGAUCCAUGUCAGAGACUAGUCUUCUAGGUAACAUUACCAUGAGGAAGGAAUAAAGGUGAAGUCAAUAGAAAGAUCUUCCCAUAUGGAAUAAUUAACUAGCAAAUUGAUUGAUAUUUGGCAAGUCUAUCAGAACUCAUCAAGUAAUAAAAGAGUUUGUAUCCACAGGUAUUAUACGAUUAGUUAGAAAACUUACCAAUUAUAUGUUAGUUAUAAGUGAUCAAUUUAGAGGGUUUGCAUAAACUUUGGUUUUAAAGAAUGAAAAAAAAUUGAAUAAAACAAGGAUGGAACAAGCGAUUAGAACUUCUGAAUUUCUUACGCUAAUUAUCACAUUAAGAUGAUGUAAUAUGUCUAAAGCGUUUAUCUAAUGAACAUUUAUCCAAGAUCCAGUUACAAUAACCAAGACUAACAGACAAUUGUUUCCUAGUUCAUUUCAUAAGGAUACUUGAAUAAUUCUAAAUUUUAACUGCAUAAAUAGGUACUCAAUAUGGUUAAAGUAGAUCUUAACGAGCAUAAUGAAGCUGCCCUUGGUAAUGGAGUUGUUUUGAUGAUGUUUGAUUAAAACUAGGUAUUAAGUGUGUUUGAUGAUGUUUAUUGUUUACAUGUUCAUAGUAAUUACUAACGAUGUUUACAUGUGCAUAGUAAUUAGUAUAUAUUAAAGCACCUAGCCAUCCAUGAUCUUAAGUUUCUUCAAAGUGUCUCGUCUGUCAAGUUUCAUUUUGUGGCAAAACUCAUUUCUCCGUACCUUUGAAUCGUAUCACAAAUUGAUGAUUUGUAUCAUGCUCGAAUCGAAUCACAAUUUGGUUGUUCGUAUCAUUUGAGUUCUCUAAUCUUGUGAUUUGCCUGAACAAAUCGUAUCAAAUAUUCUUUAUUUGUAUCAAUCUUCAUCUAAAAUUUUUUGAAUUGUAUUAAAUAUUAUUUAUUCGUAUCAAUCUUUAUAGCUUCAUAUUUAUCCUUGCCUGAAUGAAUCAUAUCGAAUAUUCUUGAUUCGUAUAUGUUGGAUUUUUAUUUGUGUUGGCCGCAUUAUGUUAAAAAAAAAAUAUUCUAGCAAGAUGUUGGGAAAGCUGUCCUAGACAUGUUAGUACAACAACUUAACUUAAGGUGAAGUAUUAUGUUUCGCAAUCUUGAAAGAUUUGGUUUAUGGGUGAGAUCAUUGAAGAUUUGAUAGAAGAGAUGAUUCACGUAGCUUGUGCUCCAAGAAGCGUGUGGUUCUAGAAGCCUCCUUUGUCGUUUUGUCCUUGACCGUGUUUUAGUAUUUAAUGUCCUAAACAUUUUAGGAAACAUUUUAUAUGCUUCUAUAAAAUUGUAGCUGAAGACACUAUUGGAUCAACUGUAUUGUUUAGCCCGACAGAUGAUCAAGCACAUGCACUCUCUGUCUAUAUAAAGGAAGACUCAAACCUAAAGAAGACUACUGAAGUCGUAAUUGAGAAAAGUGUCAUCUAGAGUUUUAUUUUGUACUUUGUUAUUUGUGAGCCACUCUUGUAUACCCUUGAUGCAUUGAGUUGGACUGAUAGUUGAGUUGUAUUUGUGAACUGCUCUAAAGCUUUUAAGCAAAUAGUAGGUUUUAUUUAUUGGAGUGUGUCUCCUUGAGUGUAAUCAUUGAAAUCACGGGUUGUGUGAUUAAGAGAAAGUGAGAUGGGAUCUCAUAUCUAAGAGAUUCUUAAAUAGAAAUAUCACGGGAAGUGAUUAGGUGAGAAGGCAGUGAACCAACUACUGUUCACAUAGGACUUCAAACUAAUACUAUUAUAGUAGAUUUUCUUCCUGGCUUGGAUGUCCCCAGAUGUAGGUGACGUUGCACCGCACUGGGUUAACAAAUAUCUUGUGUUAUUUCCUUCUUGUACUUUACUUUAAAGUUGUUUAUUGUUUAUUGUGUUAAGUAUUUGUUAUUAAGUGUUAUGAACAUUUCAUUCGACAUUCUUGGUGUCCUGGACAUCUCAUAGAAUAUUUGUCCCGUACGUGCCAGAAUUUGAGUAUCAAUCUUUAUCUCGAAACUUUUGAAUCAUAUCAAAUAUUUUUUAUUCGUAUCAAAUCUUCACAACUUUAAAUUUUUUUUCCUUUUUCAUGUGUCUGAAUCGAAUCAUACUUAACAUGAUUCGAAUCAUGUAGUUGUUUUUGCCACAAAAAUUGCACUUGUCAGUCAUGUAUAUAUAUAGUUAUACUAAUACACCUUCCAACUUAUUUAAUCAAUUGCAAAUAAUAUUCUAGAGUCUCCAAACCUCUCUCUCCACUUGUUCUUGAGAUUAAACACUUUUUCUAAGAUUUUUUUGUGGAUUUUUAGUCAUAGAUUGCUAGAGUGUUAUAGGAAUUGUACACUAGUUUAUUUUGAAGUAACUUGAUUGAGGAUCAAGGAUCUAAAGGACAAGAGGGAUUUCUUUCCACCUCGAAGGGAAAUUGUGGGGGCUUUCUAACUUUUCAAGUUUAAGGGGAUCCAAAUUUCAAACAUAGAAAAUAAGAAUUCAAGGUGAAGGAAUUCCCAGGAUUUCAUGGGAACUUGAGUUUCGAAAACUUAGGAAAUCUCCAAUUUCAACGGGUACUUGAAGAUCGGUGGUGUUGUGAUUUCUUAGGAUUGAAGAUUAGGGUUAUCGAGGGAAUUAUUUGUAAUCCUAACAAUUUCUAAACAAUUUUCAACAAUAGUAAAAGUUCAUGAUAACGACGUUUUCUAUCAAGAAAAGUAAACAUAUCUCGAAGCGAGGACGAAAGGGGCAACUACUAUAAAUCCCGGUGUUCUCUACCCUAUCAUUUUAUAUUUUUGCCUUACUAUUUGUAUAUGAAUUUUGUGUUUGACACUAUUUGAUUUGAUUGUGAUUAAUUUUUUAACUUAACAUAAUCUCGAUUCAUUGAAUUAAGAUUCUUUUCAAAUUCAAUUUGAUCAUAAUUAAGUUUCGUCUCUAUGUGGUUUAUUGUAAUUAGGUUUGGUUUGAGUAUGUCUAAUUUUGAAAUUUUUAUGCUUGAUUAUUAAUAAUUGAUGAUUUUAAACAUUGUCUUAGACUUGUCAUCAUUGGAAUCUGAUAAGUCAUACGUUUUCAAUUCAGGCCUUCGCAAACUCUUUUGAAAAUCAAAAAACCUUUUUAAACCCCCCCAUAUGCACCUUCUUGUUCAUCGUAAAGACCAAUAAAUGACAUCAAGAACGUGGUCUGUUCACUAACAGUUAACUACCGAAAGAGUCGAUAUGAUGAACAAAGAGCCUUAGUGGGAGUACAGUAGGGCUCCAAUUUUUUACGGCAAAAAAUGUGAAUAUUGGAAAGAAUGCAUGAACUUCCAUAUUCAAUAAGUCGACAUGGAUGUUGGGAACGCCAUGGUCAACUAGCGGUCCGAACCUCAAGUUGAAGUUAACGGGGUUGCAAAAAUAAAACAUAAGGCCAAUUGGACCGACAGUGAUAAAAAGAAGAUUCAAUAUGAUUUGAAGGCAAGAAACAUUCUUAUUUCCACCAUUUGCGUGAAUGAGUAUCAAUCGGUUUCACAUUGUAAGGCCGCUAAGGCAAUAUUGGAUGCUUUGGAAACCCUCCAUGAGGGUACCGAAGACGUGAAGCAAUCAAAAUCAAUAUUCUCAUCUAACAAUAUGAACUAUUCACAUGGAGGAUGGUGAAACCAUCUCCUCCAUGCAAAUGAGCUUCACUCAUAUUGUUAACAAACCGCAAUACUUAGGAAAAGACAUCUCAAACGAAGAUUGUACUAACAAGGUACUGAGAUGCAUGACUAGAGAUUGGCAGUCCUAGGUCGCCGCAAUAAAGGAAUCUCAACCUUAACACCCUUGGAAUCACCAUUCUUUUUGGCAAGCUGAAAGAUCAUGAACACGAGAUCCUAAGGUUGAAAGAAAAUGAGGAAGAUAUCAAGAAAAAGGGAAAUAAGACCACUGCAUUCAAAGCCUCGUCGUCCAAGGCUAAACACUUGGUGGAAUAGGAUAAUGAUACCGAUGAAGACCUCACUGACAUGAGGAGAUGGAAUUAUCUGUGCACCUAUACCAUAGAUACAUUGAAAAAAAUGGGUUGAAGCAUAGUAUCAAAAAUCUUAUAAACUUUAGUAGAGCUAUUCUCAAAUGAGCUAAAUUCGAGAAGGAACAUGUACCCAAUUUAGAUGGAUGUGGAAAAUCAGGCUUCUUGAAAAUGAAUGUCUGGACUUGACCAAAGCAAGUAGAAAGUCCAAGUUUAACAUCAAUGGAAAGAGAAAAAGGAAGGAAAGCUUAUAUUGCAUGGGAGGACAAUGAUAAUAGUGAAAUUGCCGACCUAUGUCUCAUGGGACAUAAGCAUCAUGAAGUAAUUUUUUCCGACUCCUGUAACACCCCGUUUCCCAAAAUUAAUUAAAUAAUAAUAAUUCAACAUCAGAGUAAAAUCCAAACGGGCAUGUCACAUCACAUUUUCAAAAUCACUUUAAAUAGAAUAUAAAAAUCUAUUUAAUUAAACAUCAUUCGAAUUUAUCAUUAAAUCUGCAGCGGAAUAUUCUCAUCAAACAACAAUUCAUAACUGUUUUAAACUCCAUAAUAAAUUCUUGGCAUGAAAGCCUUAACAUCAUAAAAUCCAACAUCAAUAGGGCUACAACAGCAAUAUUCUAAAUUUGAUACAUAGGAAAGAAAUUAAACGAUGAAAUCUCAUCCCACGUAUCAGAGCCCUAGACACUUUGAGCCAGCACCAACUACUCAGGAUCACCUGCAAGUUACCCAUAGGAAGGGCAACAUUUUCAAGCAGAAGGGGUGAGAUUCACAACAAUAAUAUAGAUAAAGAAUGCAUCAAUUGAAUCUAACACCCUAUCAUAAUAAUUCAUCAACAUUAUAUUAAUNNNNNNNNNNNNNNNNNNNNNNNNNNNNNNNNNNNNNNNNNNNNNNNNNNNNNNNNNNNNNNNNNNNNNNNNNNNNNNNNNNNNNNNNNNNNNNNNNNNNCUCAUGGGACAUAAGCAUCAUGAAGUAAUUUUUUCCGACUCCUGUAACACCCCGUUUCCCAAAAUUAAUUAAAUAAUAAUAAUUCAACAUCAGAGUAAAAUCCAAACGGGCAUGUCACAUCACAUUUUCAAAAUCACUUUAAAUAGAAUAUAAAAAUCUAUUUAAUUAAACAUCCUUCGAAUUUAUCAUUAAAUCUGCAGCGGAAUAUUCUCAUCAAACAACAAUUCAUAACUGUUUUAAACUCCAUAAUAAAUUCUUGGCAUGAAAGCCUUAACAUCAUAAAAUCCAACAUCAAUAGGGCUACAACAGCAAUAUUCUAAAUUUGAUACAUAGGAAAGAAAUUAAACGAUGAAAUCUCAUCCCACGUAUCAGAGCCCUAGACACUUUGAGCCAGCACCAACUACUCAGGAUCACCUGCAAGUUACCCAUAGGAAGGGCAACAUUUUCAAGCAGAAGGGGUGAGAUUCACAACAAUAAUAUAGAUAAAGAAUGCAUCAAUUGAAUCUAACACCCUAUCAUAAUAAUUCAUCAACAUUAUAUUAAUAUCAUCAUUUUCAAUGUCAUCAACAAAUGGUAAUUAAAAACCAACUCAACGAAUCAUGCAACUCAUCACCACUCCACUAAGACUCCUCUAACAACACCCAUGUAUGUGGUACCAUAAUCAGGACCGUAGCCCUCACCGCUGUAGAAUGGUUAAAGCAUUCAUUUUCAGGACAUAAGUCCUCACCACUAAACACCACUUUGAGCAACUAGUGCUCCACCACUUUGAACGACAAGGCGUUCCAGAGCCGAAGCUCUCCCACUGUUAUGCUUAUGCAGCUGACCCACUUGUGUAUAUCUACAUACAACCCAACCUAUGCAUAUAUAUGUAUAUGACUCACCACUCCAAAAUACAACAUUCAUGUAUGACUUAAUUAAAUGAAGCAUACAUUCCAGCCAGCAUCAAUUCAUUAUAACCAAUUUAGAACAUCCAGAAAAAUACACCAUUAUAAUAGCCAUGCUUAAUCAUCAAGAUAAAUCAACCAUCAACAACAUAAUCAAUCAAACAAAUACUGGGCAACUCGCCUCGCGAGCACAUAUGCUCGCUAUGGCGAGCUCAAAAAACAGGACACUCGCCAUGGCGAGUUCGAGGCGAACGAAAAUAUGGUGCUCUCGGGAGUUUUGACAUUUUUCUCACUAAAUCAUCAAUUCUAAGCUCCCUAUUCAUCUUUUUAAUCUAAAACUUGCUCCAGUCCUCUCUUAAAUCAUCUAGGUACAUAAAACUACCCAAAUUACGGCUUAUAACAACACUUUAAAAAUCCAGUUUUCCUCACAGGUACUCGCCAUGGCGAGCAAAGGCUACUCGCGAGGCGAGCGAUGAACUUUCUGUAGGGGCAGAAUGCAGGUUUUUCCCAAAAAUUCCAUUUUCCUCCAAUCCACUCCCCAAAUCAGUUUACAGAUAUGAAUGAAUGGUUAUAUGCACUCAGAACCCAUUUCUAACAUCAAUAAAGCAAUCCUUACUCUCAAAACCCAUUAAUCUAACAAAAACCUAGUUUCUCCCAAUUCUCUCAUAAACCUAUUAAAAUCAAAAUCAGAAUUCAGAACCUAUACAAUUGCGGUAAACCUCACCCUUACCUUAGAAUUGCAGAAAAAUAAGCACAUCAAUUGACAGACUUGGCUCUCCUUGCUCUUCUCUCCUUUUUCUCCCAAAACUUGAUUUUCACGUAAAAACGUUUUUCUGACUUUUCUCUUUUCUUAACUCCCAAAAAGUAACUUCCCUUUCUUUUCAUUAAACUCCCCUUAAUUCUAUUAAAUAUUAAUUAACUCCCCACACUCCAAAAUAAUAUUAAUUCUCACUUAUUCUAAUUAUUAUUAAAAUAAACUAUAUAAUAAAAUCUAACACACCAUAAAAUCCACAAAUAUUAUUUUAAAAUCAUAAAUAGACUCCACAUAAAUCCAAAAUAAUUAAAUUAAAGACUAGGGCGUUACAACUCCAAAUCCAAAUAUAAUCCUUCCCAUGAGAAAUUACAAGAAGCUCUAGUAGACAUGCAUGAUGAUGCUUUGAAAGCUUUUGAGAAAUUAAUUGUUUAAAAGAAAAAUAAUCUAAAACUGGAAGCCGAGCUUUCACCACGUAAAAAUAAUUUAAAAUGUUGAAAAGACGAGUAUGCAUCUCUAGUAAAUGAGAAAAUUCUAAUUCCUCACAUUGAGCCACCUAAAGCUAAUUCAUCCAAGUAUGAUUCAAAUUGGAUGGAUUUUUCAAGUUGUGAAACUUGUCCUAGUUUACACGAACAGAUUAAAUCUCUAACAUGUAAACAUGAACAAGCCUCCAAAUCCCCAUAGUUUUGCGUGAAUAAGAAAUCCGACGCGGGGGCUGGUAAAGAGAACUUCUCCUUGUCUCCCACUACUCAGAUCUAAACUUAUCCCUUACGAAUCAAAGAGAAAUUGAACCAACAAUAUUUACUAGUGAUUAGAGUAUGGACUUCAUUUUUCUAAAUAUCAAGACAGUUGAAUUGACAAGUUUCGGAGGUUAACGAGCUUCGAAAUUCGUAAAUCAAUNNNNNNNNNNNNNNNNNNNNNNNNNNNNNNNNNNNNNNNNNNNNNNNNNNNNNNNNNNNNNNNNNNNNNNNNNNNNNNNNNNNNNNNNNNNNNNNNNNNNCUUCCUUGGAAAUGCGGAAAAUUAGCACAUCAAUUGACAGACUUGCCUCUCCUUCUCUUCUCUCCUUUUCUCCCAAAACCUGAUUUUACGUAAAAACUUUUUCUGACUUUCUCUUUUCUUAACUCCCAAAAAGUAACUUCCCUUUUUUUCAUUAAACUCCCCUUAAUUCUAUUAAAUAUUAAUUAACUCCCCACACUCCAAAAUAAUAUUAAUUCUCACUUAUUCUAAUUAUUAUUAAAAUAAACUAUAUAAUAAAAUCUAACACACCAUAAAAUCCACAAAUAUUAUUUUAAAAUCAUAAAUAGACUCCACAUAAAUCCAAAAUAAUUAAAUUAAAGACUAGGGCGUUACAACUCCAAAUCCAAAUAUAAUCCUUCCUAUGAGAAAUUACAAGAAGCUCUAGUAGACAUGCAUGAUGAUGCUUUGAAAGCUUUUGAGAAAUUAAUUGUUUAAAAGAAAAAUAAUCUAAAACUGGAAGCCGAGCUUUCACCACGUAAAAAUAAUUUAAAAUGUUGAAAAGACGAGUAUGCAUCUCUAGUAAAUGAGAAAAUUCUAAUUCCUCACAUUGAGCCACCUAAAGCUAAUUCAUCCAAGUAUGAUUCAAAUUGGAUGGAUUUUUCAAGUUGUGAAACUUGUCCUAGUUUACACGAACAGAUUAAAUCUCUAACAUGUAAACAUGAACAAGCCUCCAAAUCCCCAUAGUUUUGCGUGAAUAAGAAAUCCGACGCGGGGGCUGGUAAAGAGAACUUCUCCUUGUCUCCCACUACUCAGAUCUAAACUUAUCCCUUACGAAUCAAAGAGAAAUUGAACCAACAAUAUUUACUAGUGAUUAGGUUAUGGUUUUCAUUUUUCAAGAGUCAAGACAUUUGAUUGUUGAAUUUGAUUAUGAUGGAUAAAAGGAUUUUAAUGAUGAACUAUUUUUUUUAGUCAAUCUUAGUUGAAAGGAUAAGAGUCAUCUUAGUUGAAAAUAUGGUGUCAAUCUUAGUUGUGGGUUUCUCUUAGUCAAUUACGAUCAUCCAACUCAUUGUACGCUCUAUAACGCACUAGUUGUUAUUUUAAUUAUUUCUGAUUUAUUUAGAGUCUUUUAUAUGAUUUUAAAUAAUUAUUGUUGAUUAUGUGGUGUGUUAUAUUUUAUUAAAUGAUUUAUUUUUAGUAUUUAUUAGAAUAAUAUGAGAAAUAGAAUUAUUUGGAAUUCUAGGGGUUAUAUUUUAAUUAAGGGAAUUAAGCGGAAGUUAAUUAGAAUUAAGAGGGAGUUAAGUAAGGAGUUGGAGAAGUCAGAAAAACAGUUUUACGUACAAGCAGUUUUUGGGAGAAAAGGCUAGGAGAAGAGAAACCAAGAGGAGAGAACAAGAAUUCUGUAGAGCUUUGUUCUUCGAUUAAGGUAAGGGUGAGGUUUACUCUCAAUAGUAUAGAUUAAAGUUCUGAUUUUGAUUUUAACAUGAGGGUUUUGGUUAAUUUGGGAAUUGGGUUUAUAUUUUGAUUCUUUGAUUUUUGGAUGAAAUGAGUGUAGAAACCACUGUAUUAGUGUUAGAAUGCAUUCAGGAGGGUUGUCUCUUGUUCAUUGGAGGAGUCAAUAUACAUGGGAAGCUCUUUAUCAUAAUGAGAACUUGGGGUCUAUUUCCUUAGAGGUGGAUGAGACUGAUGUAGGAGGGUUUUCUUAGUAAUUUAUUAGUAUUUAUUAAUUCAGCCUAAUUUUAUUAUUUGUUUGUUUUAUUUUAUGUUUGUUAUUUUUGGCCCUUUAAGGUUUGUUAUUUCCCUAGUUAAGCUUUACAGAUGUAGCCUAAGAGGCAACUUUUUAUUCAAUAUUAUUUCAGAGAGCUUUUCUCAAUUUUUGGUGGUUUCCAGAACCUUUAUUUCAUAAGUUUGUCGAAUGCAAACUUGUCUUUUUUCAAUCUAGGUUUAAAGCUUGCUAGCCUACGCUUCUGUACUGCAUCACAUCCACAUUGGUUUUGAUCCAAGAGAGGGAGAAGGUGGAGUUUGUAAAACCUCUAAGAGGGUAUGACUCAUAGCACUCUUGGCUGUAGUCUAGAAAAUUGAGUUACUUUGAAAUCGUGCAUGGAGUCAUUGCCAUGACCUUUAAUUAGCUUGUAGUUGAAGUUAUUUUCUGAUAUUAUCCUAUCUAUCAGACUUUUCAUGUGAUCUUUGAAGCACCUCUUGUUUCUUUCAAUCCAAACGAGUCAAACUAUAUGCAACUUGGCAGAAAUGAUUAUAAAAUUUGGGGCCUAACUCAUAUGUACAAAACUAGUUUGUAAGGUGAGAGGUGCUUCCUCUUAAUAAACACUUCUUAACAGUCCUAUCUAUCCAAUGUGGGACAAAAUCCAGCCCCUCAAAGCCAACACAAUGAAGGUGUUAGAGGCUGUAAUGAAGGCAAACCAAAGGUCGCAAUUUAGGCGACUAGGGGCGGACCGUAAUAAAGGUGGAAUUUCCAAGACACCCCGUCACGCUUCAGCCUAGCCCAAUGGGCCUAAAGCGUGGAUGAUAUGGGAUACCCAACAAAAGAUCUAGGAUAGGCUCUGAUACUAUGUCGAAAUUUAGGGUCUAACUCAUUCUUACAAAACCGACUUGUAAGGUGAGGAGUGUCUCGUAUGGUUAUUUUGCAUAUUAUUGAGAAAAUGUAUUUGAUUCGAUGCUGGAAAAAUAAACGUCCAAGUUUUAACUUCAUAUCCACAUGAAAAAACUACAAUAUUAUUUAUCGUACGUAUGAUACAGUCCUAUCAAAUUGGAAUGUAAGCACGGACCGGUGAAUACAAGGGUAUUAUUUUAUUUUAUUUUGGGGGGGCGGGGGGAGGUGGGACCAAUAAGAGGGGCCGAUAGAACUAGUUUGUUGUUGUGGUAUAAAACUUACAUUGGCCCAAGUCCAUUAACCUAAACCUAAUUUCAUCUUCUCUCUCGGUGGAAAUUGCAUAUAAAAGUGGCCGCAUCCACAAUAUAUUUCUCCCCAAUUUCUUCUUCUUCCUUAUUUUUCCUUUGUUUUAUGUUUACCAGUUUUUUCGCGAUUCUUCAUACUGUUUGUUUUUCUGUUCACGUGUUCUCAUAUAUACUUUAUUUAUUAAAUCAAAUUUUCAAUAUCUCAGUGCCUCUUAAAUUCCAUUAGAGAUUGAUCCUUGAUUCAUCUGAAAAGUUCAGAAAUUAAUCUAGUUGUCAAACUGUGUGCUUUAAAUUUGAUUUACAACUAAUUUGUAACGACAAUACCAAUCAAUAGAAUUAUCAAUCUAAUAGUUUGACCAUUUCUUCUACAUGUUUUGUUUUUUCUCAAAAUUGUUCAGAUUUACAGAUCCAGUUUGAUCAUUGCAAUAAUGGAUGAAGGUCAAUCUGCAGAUGGGAAUGAAGAUAUUCAUCAAAUAAAAUUGUCAAAAACCUCCAAAUCAAAUCGACGAAAUACCAAAAGUAUCCAAAAAUAAUAUGUAUUUUUUUUUGAAAAGAUCCAUAAAUAUUAAAUUGUUAUCCAUUUAAUUGUUAAAUAUUCAAUAUUUAAAUGGUGGCUAACAUUCAUUUGUACAUUACAAAAUUUGAAUGAGCUUUUUUUUUUUUUUUUUUUUUUAAUUUUCAAUUCAAACUGCCAAAGAUGAUAACCAUGCUUUGGUCACUAUUCAAGACUCUAAAGGCUUGUUUGAUCUCAUAAUCAGUAAGUUUCAUAUAUUUGAAAUGAAUGUAUUUGAAUUCCAAAAGAAAAUUCAAGAUGAAUUUCAACUUCCUGAUAUAGGUUAGUAUCAUUUUUCCCUUCCAACUAAAUAUUAAGUCUAAUUUUUAGUCAUUAAAUAUACCUUGCAAUUUUUUAUUUUUUAUGUUUUCAAUACUCUAUAUUAAUAUUAUGCAGUAGUUUCACUAUAGUAUAAGUUAUGAUAUAUUUAAAUAUAUGACAUUUUACCUUUUGUUUCAAAUAGUGAUGUCUAAAGACAAUACAUGUACCAGACAUUAUCUCCAUGACUUUAGAACUUGGAGCAGCACGCUAUAUUGUUAACGCAUUUUGUGCUGAAAACUUUAGAGACAUUUGGAAGUAUGCAUUGGAAGCAAAGAAAAAUAAACUAUUUAUUG